rnacentral:rRNA from 1 species
GAUGAACGCUGGCGGCGUGCCUAAUACAUGCAAGUCGAGCGAACAGACGAGGAGCUUGCUCCUCUGACGUUAGCGGCGGACGGGUGAGUAACACGUGGAUAACCUACCUAUAAGACUGGGAUAACUUCGGGAAACCGGAGCUAAUACCGGAUAAUAUAUUGAACCGCAUGGUUCAAUAGUGAAAGACGGUUUUGCUGUCACUUAUAGAUGGAUCCGCGCCGCAUUAGCUAGUUGGUAAGGUAACGGCUUACCAAGGCAACGAUGCGUAGCCGACCUGAGAGGGUGAUCGGCACACCUGAAAGUGACACCCGGUCAAGCCUCCAAGGGGAGGAGCGAAGGGGAAUUCUCCCCAAAGGGGGGAAGGCCUACGGAGGCACCGCCGGGGGAGGAAUAAAGGUUUCAGAAUCUAAAACUUUUUUUAUUGGGAAAAACAAAAUUUGAAAUUAACUAUGCACUUCUUGAGGUAACUAAAUCAGAAACCCCGGCCUAACUAGGGC